rnacentral:lncRNA from 1 species
AUGUACUACAGAACUUUCGAGUUAGCUAUGCCUAGUAUCUUGCAUGAUCUGAAACCUCAGACAUCGGUAUCUUUCUUUCUCUUUUGACUCCUUUCUCUUGGUUUCAAUACAGAGUACAGAAUAUAGAGCUCCUGAUAUUUCUGUCAGUGUAUUCUUCAGUGGUGAACCAUGCACAUUAGGUAGAGGUGUUCGAAAUUAGUUUACACCAGAAGUGGAUAUACUACUUGACCUCUGCUUUGUCAUGUAAUCUAGCUCUCAUUAAAUGAAUAAGGAUGAGCUAAAGAGAUACUAGUGGCUUAGGAGUUACAUUUUCUGUUCAAAUCUUGGAGAUAGCAAUGAUGUGUAUAUAUUGGCACCGUGAUACAUACCUUUUGUUGGUGACCAUUCAGGCCUUUUCUUUUCAAGUUGCUUUCAGAACGCAUGUGUAGGAAAAACAUGUCCUGGUUUCUUUUCGACUAAAACAACUCUUUAUUCAAUAAAGUACAUUGUUUUUGCCUUUAGUUUUAAUUUUCUUUAAGAUGUCUAUUUCAUGAGAACUGGAGUUUUAAGGGGUGAGAUACAACGAAAACUGCAUGGCUACGGGAGCUGAAUUCGCUUCACAUGCCGGCAGACAGCGGGGAAAUAAUAAAAAAAUAUUUGUGGCUACGGCCCUAAGAUAAAAGCAUCUAUGGUCCAAGUUAUUGAUCCAGGAGAUGGGACUAGCUGAAGGGGUAAUUGGAUAAGUGAGUGACAGCCAAUUCGACGGUAAGUUACAUGUUCAGGCGUCAAGCAAGAUCUAUAACCUCUAUGGUUAUCUGCCACAAUUGUACUCUAAAAUGUAUAUCCACUAACAAAACUAAUGUGUAUGCUAAUGCAAUUAAUGUAAUGAAUGUUGGUAUAAAACAAUUUUAGGUACUUUAACCCCUAAAACGUGCAAGUUAUUGUUGCUUUGCAGUAGUUUGAAUUUAUGCAUUUGUUUGAUUGUAUAAAUUCGUUAUUUCAGUGCAUAGCUCAUAUAGUAUAAUUUUUUGUGACAAUUAUCACGCCCCUCACCACCAAGAAAUCAACGCUUUUUGGCAAAGAGCAUUAUAUGUUAUAGGAAACUUUUGUAGCCAGAUAGUGCUUUUCUUCUUAUACCAACUUCUGCAGUUGUCGCUAAUUUUCACCUGAACAUUCUUGCAGCACAACAUAAAAUGUACGUCAAUAACUGGCAGUCGCUUUUAUUGGUGGCUGUGGAACUUGACAGGCCGCUAUGUUGCCUUCUUCAACACCUAAAUACAAAAAGAAAAGGCCUACAGAAUUAUUGCCUUUUAUAUAUGAUAUGAUAAUAACAGAAGCACCACAGCAGAAAAAUGCACACAGAAUUUGCGCAUUAUUCAAUUCUUAAAGUCAAUUGCUGGGCCUGAUGUUGUAUUCACAGGAUCCAGGGUCUCUGCGGUUGCAGGGCCAACGGGCCCAUGCGGUAAAUGGCCUUAGAUUGGGCUCGAUGGGCCGGAUCUUGGGGCCUUGCACUGGACGGUGCAGCGGACCUGCCAACCACACCGGCCCCCAUCAAUAUUCAUAACUCCUCUUUUCUCCCAUUGACAGGUUUGAAUUCAGUAUAUUUCAACCGAAGAAGUACGGUUAGGCAGCCACAAACCAAGAAGCAUCGGCUUGUUAUUGUUCACGAAUCUAACAAAGCACAAAAACCUAUAAUUAUACCCUACUUAUCUAUACGAAUAUCCAUUCCUGAGAAUCUGGUUUUCAGACUAAAUAACGGAAGUAACUAAUUAGCAGCAACCACCCCACCCCCCCGAACAGCAUGGCAUAGGGAUAAAAGUGACAGUAGAAUGCACAUUUGUCGAUUGCAAACAUGCAUCGGUUUCACCACCAUGUCCAAGGAGUAACUGCAUCUUCGCAAUUAAUAGGAUUCCACGCCAAUUUCUGCGUCUUAAAGGCAAUUUCAGGUGACCAGAUAAAUGAACACCAAAAUACUUUAUCUUGGCAGUUGAUACUUUACCAUGUCAUUCUGCCUGCUCAAAGCAGGUAAACUCACACAUCUCAAUGCUCUUCACAGAUCUUCUUAGAGAUCUCUGUUCAAAAGUCGCAACAAUUGAUAAAAAAAGAGUAAGAAAAAAUCAUCGAAAUAAAUGUAAACACGUCUCAAUCUCAUGUAAAGAAUAAUGGUUUCUCCUAUUCUUUUCCUUUUUAAAAGGGAUCAACAAUGAUUCCCCACCUACCCCUUGAUGAUGAUAAUGGUUUCUCCUCUUACAAUAGUAAGUGGCAAAUGUAACGUUUUCCAAUUUAGUCAAAUUAGUGGCUGGAUGUAACGUGUGAGUUCAAAAAACUUCAAUUGAAGUCUCAAACAUCAACCAAUUUAUGCUAUGUAGUCUCCUUCAGGACCUCUACUGAUGCAACUAAGUAUGGAACUUUUUCAUUUCCUUCCAAUAAUUUGCCACACACCUCACCUGCAUGUUCUUGUAGCUUUUGUCUGCCAUCAUCAACAGUCCCUUGAAAUUUGUAGAAAUGGACACCAUCACCCACAAUUAGAUAAUUUUCUCCAAUUAAUGUCCUCGUCAUUGCUCACCCCGCCAGCUCACUUAUCGGGGGACGGUCCAUGAUAUCAGAUGCACCCUUGGCGUUGCUUUGCAGUAGUGGGUCAAUGUCAGGCAACUUGGGAAUCUGCCAAUCGUGAAAAAUCAAUACUUAGCGGCCGAGCCAGGAACUUGAUACAUACAUUAUUUGUGCAAGUACAGUGUGUCAAUAGCAACAUACCUGUGCUAAUAAAUCAAUUGUUCGACGUAAGAGACGAGCUAGAUCACCUUCAUCCAUCGCACAGUCCAUCAUAAUCUCUCUCCAAGUUAGACCAGAAGCCCAGGCUUCAACCAUACCAGAAAAUUGGCUAUCCAAGCAGCAAGGUAUCUGUAAGCCAAAAACAUGGUCCAGUAAUAAAAGUGUAAUUCAGGAAAGAGCGGCAAAGAAAGGAUGGUGCAGGCUUUUAAGCAAAUAUUCAUGUAGCAACUGAGACAGCUCUUGAUUUAGCAACUCACCAUUACUCCAUGCUUUUCCUGAAGUUCUAAGAGUGAGCUUCUUUGAUCUGCCAAAAAUUCGAUUACGUUGGUCACAGUGGAGGAAGCUUCAUAUAUAUAGCUGCAGACCAGACAAAAUGUUAAUACAUGCAUUAUUAUUUUUGUUACUAACCAUGCAAAUCUCCACUUAUAAGAUAAUUACUUACUGAAUCAAAUAGGAACACCAUUAUUCUGGACUCUCACAUCAUCCCAGAGAUCUUAAACUAGUCAGAAUUCUAAGAGAUUACAUACUCAUCCGAGAGUAACAAAGAUACCUGUUAUUUUUCCAGGGCCUGAUCUUAAUCCCUUCAGAAACUAGGCUUCCACAGACAGCAGCAAACUGUGCAGGUUUUAGAUCCAGCAAUAUCUUGUUUCGAAGAACCAUAGCAAGCCAGAGUUCAUUUUCUCCCCGAAUUGCAGCUGCAGUUUCACCCAGGGGGAAUAUGACGUGUGUGUUUAUAUCCAAGGCCCUAGCUUCAUGUAUGACAUUGCUGACCUGAAAGAUGUCAAGAACUUGUUUAGGCGGGAAAAACAUAGUUUUAGCUGUCCAAGGAUAUUCUGAUAAAGUUGACAAGUAAUCCUUGGCAGAAAAUAUUUGGUAAUAUAAUUAUCUUUAUCAAGUAACUGACCAAUAAAAUACAGAUGAAUAAAUAAAAUGGAACUUUAAGAGGAAAUUUCUGUUAUCUAUUCUCAAAAGUUGAAGCAAAAGAUUUCUAGGUCUUGCAGUACAACUUUUUGAACAGCUACCGUUUUACAAACAGAAAUCAGGUCAACUAUUCUGAAUGAAACAGCUCCUGCACUCUUAAUAGACAGGAAACAUCUAUGAAUUGCAUCCUUUACUCCUCAAAACAUGUUGGAAAAUGAGCAAUAACUUCUAGAGUAAUUCUAUAUCAAUUUACAAAAUGAAUUAUCCAGAAUGUGCUAGUGAAUGCAUUUCGAUUGUAAAGUACUGAGUUUCACUGCCCAACUCUGGUGCCUAUUUAAGUGUGGAAGAAUUCUUACAUUCUUAUCUUUGUCAAAACAUAUCAAAAAUCAAGUGCACUAUUUCUACCACUGAAAAUCAGAAAUGACACGAAAUACAGGAGAACUGGAAACUUUGGAUGACAGAGCAAUGUCAAGAAAUGGAUACCACUCCAAAGAUAGCUGGGUAGACACUCAAAUUCAAAACCAUUCUACAAAAAAGUCAAAUAGAAUGAUGAAACAAGAAGAUAGAGAACCCUUAAUAUCAUGCAAAUUUCUUUUCCCAACAUCAAACAAAGGUCUGGGUUUGGAGGAAGUAGAUCAUAACCACAAAGACUAAGCUAAGAAAUUAGCGUAUUGCCUUCAGAAGAAGGAUAAGCCUGUCAGUGACAAAGAUAUGAAGAAACAUAACCAGCACACAGCACCUGGGUAUAGCUUGUUACACAUAUAUAUUCCCUAGGAAAUGCAGAGGAAAUCACAACUAACGAUGAAUAACUCCAAUUAUGACCAGAAUGCAAAGCAAAUCAUGGACAACUCCUCAUAUUACCUGCAGAAAUUCCUUCCAACCAGAAGGUUCAAUCUGCUUGAUUCUGUUAGUCAGACGCUUUGAUCUGGCCAUUAAACGUCGAAUCUUUUCUUCAGUAAACUUGGCAAAAUCAGUUAUCUUCUUAUAUUCUUUAAAGCCUUCGCUACGUGCAAUUUUUUUCUUUAAACGGGAGACUCUAUUUCUCUGAUCCUUGUAGCUUUGUACUGCAUCAUAGUAUGCUUGAGAUGGUUUUAGUACCUAGCAAUACAUUAAAAGUUAAACUUGUCAAGCUUGUAUUCAUUAAAAAGUGCAAGAGAAACUCUUUGAUGAAUGAAUCACGAAUACAAAAAUAUGCAGGAAACCUAGCUCAAGUGAAAGUCUCAACCAGAUACACUGUUUUCAUCCUAGACUGAGCCACAUAUCAUGAAGGUCAGUAACCAGAUUAUUGUUGGGGCAAAUAAGCUAGGGUGAGGAUUCUAGAUGGGACAAAGUGCUUUAAGCAGAAAUAUAACUGCAGAUACAUCUUUGAAACAAUUAAAUGAUGCAAGUGAAGUAUUUUCAGGUAAAGUUAGAUGUUGAAGUUAUAGCAAUGAAUCCCCUACCAAACAACAUCACAAAUGCAUGAAGAGAAAUUUCCUUGGUAGUUGGAAUUCAACAAAGUUUGCAGCAUUUUACUAUCACAGUUACCUCAUCAUCUUGUGAAAGACUACUUGAGACUGGCACGUUUAAACUCCAAGACCACGUCUCAAGAGAUCCUUCCAUGCACCACAAACCCCCAAGCUCAGAUUCGACAAGCUUCUGCCACUGCAUGUCCCCCUUGUCAAGAAGUUCUGACAUGAUUACCCGAGGCAAAGUAUCACCUUGAGCCAGGGGAACAUUAGGAAAGCCAGUCCUGUAAACUGUUCUUAUCCACUUUUCCGUGAAAAGAUACCAAGAAUUAUCCGAACCAAGAGCCACAUGAUAAGAUAGUGCAACUUCAUGUUUGCAUCCAGUAUAACCUGAUUGAUAAAUUUGUCUGUCUAAACUUAGUGCAAAAGAAUCUGAACUGCUGACCUGCGUACAAGCAGCAAGACAUAAUUGAAUACUGGCUCUUUAGAAAGGAAAAGACAAAAAAAAAGGUUAAACACACUUGCCAUUUUUUUAAGUUUGGAAGCAUUCAGAGAAUCAAGCUGCCCCAGAUAGACAGCAGGAAGCAGAUGUUGAACCCCAUCAGUAUCAUUAUACUGUAAGCACAUAAAGGGUAAGUGCCCAUCUUCAAGCUCCUUCAACAGAGGUUUCAAAGAAAAGAGUCUCUCCAAUUCCAUUUUUCUUUGUAGAUCAGUCCGCCUACAUUUUUCUGCCUGAGGAAAAAGUGCCACAAUUAAAUUCAAAACCUAAACUAACCAAAAAAAAAAAAAACUAAUGAAAUUUGUGACAGGAGAACCAUCUGAGAAUUCUUGAACUUGCUGAGAAGGACAGCAAAAGAUUAUUCAAGUGCUAAAAGUAAUCCACUGGACAAAGAAGACAAAUUUAGUACUUAUAGUGCAAUGACUGAAUGAGUGUUAACUUAAUGGAAAAUGGUCAACCAGAGACCAUACACAGAGUCUGUCAAAGCAUUCUUAUUAACAGACCGUAGAGGUUCAUUAAAACUGGAAGCAUAAGCAAUGUACGGAAGCCUGACAUACCCUUAGUUCUUCCUGGAGGGUGGCAAUCUCUUUAUAUGCUGAUUGAGACAACAGUUUCUGGCUUUUCCUAUCAAUAGCUUCAUCAGUAAUUUCUGCAGUCAGCAUCUCUAUAUCAUUUUGUAUCCUAGCAAGUUCUUCUUUGGCAGCAAGCAUAACAUUGCUCCCAACAUAAUUUCCAAAACUCUGCUCGACUAACUUCCUCGCUUCUUCUAAAGUCCGGCCUGCUUGUAAGACUUUUAUGUCAUCUGAUUCACUCAUUCUACUUCUAACUUUUGUACCCUGCAUAGUCACGUUUAAUGAAGUACAUCACAUGAAGAUAGCUGGAUUAAUAUGAUGUUGCAUUAAAUAACGUACCGCUAGAAGAUUCAGAACCAUUCCAUAAGAAGCAGUAAACUGUGAUACAAGAGGCUUGAGGCCAGAAAAAAGAAGCUUGAAGCCCUCUUCAGGGCCUUCAUAUGGCGUUUGAACAAGAACUGCAUGACCUCUAUCAUCAAUGCCCCUACGACCAGCACGGCCAGCCAUUUGCAUCAAGUCAUUUGAGCUUAACUGGAUACGUCCACUUUCACCCCUUUUGCUAAGACACGAAAUUACAGCUGUCCUCGCUGGCAUGUUAAUCCCAGCAGCAAGUGUUUCCGUGGCAAAAACAACCUUAACUAGCCCUCUUUGAAACAGCUCCUCUAUGAAAGAUUUCCAUAAGGGAAGGCAGCCAGCAUGAUGAGCUGCAGCCCCUCGGAGAAGACCUUUCACGGAAGAUUCUCUGACAGCAUCAGGAUAUUGAACACGAAACUUCUUCAGUGCCAGUUCAACUUCACUGAUCUCACACUCAUCAAGUAACUUGCAGUCUUCAAGAUACUGCACCGCUGCAUCACAUCCUUUCCUGCUAAAGAUAAACCAAAUUGCAGGAAGCAUAUCCCAUCCCUUAAGCUGCCAUAACGUGUCUACAACUUGAGGGACCUAAAAGAAGAAAAGUAAAACCAUGGACCAGGGAAGAAAAAAAUUAUGAAAUGAGGAUGAUAGUGGAAUGAGAGAGAGAGAGAAGUAAUGAUAGUAACACUAAUAUGUCCAUUUUCAAAAACGAGUAUGUGUUAUGUGCACGGAAUAAGAUGGCAACAGUAUUGUUGCCAACUAAAAGUUGCAUAGCUAAGGUUCAGUCCAUACUUGUGAGCGGCGAGUGGUGUUUACACCAUUCUUUGAAAGUGUAGUUACAUCAUUUUCAUGUUUUCUUGAGUUCCUUCUCCUGGGCCUUUCAUCCUUGGAGAAAUCAGUUCCAGAAGAAUCAGGUUCCAUGCGAUUUAGUGAGAGCCUCCUGUCCCAAUCAAAAGAAAGAAAGUACCAGCAACACAGAAAAUAAUUAGUAUAAAUUUAUUAUUCCUUUUUUCCCAUUUUUUGAGGAUAUCAAGAAAGAGACAUUUGAAAAACACAUUUUAGAUGCAUGAAAUACGUUCAGUGAAUAGACAGAGGAAGUAAUGCUAACUUGAGAACUCUGAUCACCAACUGUUCUGUCUUAUAUCAAACUCAAUUCUGGUGCGGAUCCCAUGACAAAAGUUCUGAGGAAGAUCAAAUAGGAGGAAGAUCUUGGCUCCCAUGGCAAGGUUGGAGAAUGGGACCCUUAUUUUUACAAGAAAUCGAUAAAAGACCCUCUAUGACAAUAAGAAACUUGCAUAUACAGGUGGGUGAGUAACCAAAUUGCCUCAUCGUAUGCAUUUUUUAUCACUAAAUAAAUGAUUAACUAAUAAUGGAUCAUAAACCAAAAAGGCCCCCAACAAUGCCCAGACACACAGUAAAUAGGGGCACAGAAAUUUGUAAAAAUGAAGUACAGCAGGAUGAAGUUCAAUAUCUCAGAAACAUGAGAUAUGUACACAAAAGCAACAACAAUCAGCACAAGAAGACUGCAGGGCCCUUUUGAUGGACCAGCAAAAGAAGAUGAGGCUACCUAUUCAUGCCAGUGCCUUUCUCAUUAAGAAGAGGUAGCAAAGCUGUCUUUGUUGAGAAGUGCCAAGUCAAAGGAACUGGACGCUUGGAUGACGUCACCAACUCGGUUUUACCAUGAAUCUUACAGUAGAAAAUGUAAAAGAAAAGAUAAGGAUCAAAGUCAAUCGCUCCAUUGUCAAAUGAGUCCUUAUUAAAAUUAUGACCGCACCUACAUCUGCCAAGGGUAAUUCAUUUACCUGAUUAAUCCAACCAGCCAGUUCAUCUGGAUUAGCAACAGUUGCUGAGAGGCAUAUGAGUUGCACUUCUUUUGGGCAAUAUAUAACCUGAAAGAGUUUUGGAACAAUUCAUGUGAUAUACUAUAACUAAAACCAUAAAGAGUUUCUGAUGGGAGAGAAGCACGCACAAUCUCUUCCCAAACUGUACCCCGAGAUAUGUCACUCAAAUAAUGCACUUCAUCCAGAACAAUCACAUCAACAUGGAGAAGUCCACUUUCAGAUGAAACAACUCCUACACUGGAAGGCGAGAAUGUUAACUAAAGAAAAGCAUAUCAUCUUUCUAACUAAAUGAAUCUUAAUUAGUUUUGACAAACUUUUCUCGCAUGGUAUGUGGAAACAAUAGAACACUAGCCAGUGUAGGAGUAUGAUUUACCUCUGAUACAGCAUGUUGCGCAAAAUCUCUGUAGUCAUAAUUACAACUUGGGCAUCUUUGUUAAUAGCUGAAUCUCCAGUAAUGAGCCCAAUAUUACUAUCACCAAAUGCUUCACUUCAAAUAGGCCCACAAUAAUUGAUAUACAUGUCUCAGACAAGAAUAUACAAAAUUAACGAUAAAAAUAUAAAUUGAUUGUUAAACUAUUACUUUAAUCAAAUUCCAGACCGGAAUUCACGGAAUUUCUGAUUAGAUAGAGCCUUUAAGGGAGUUGUGUAGAACAAUCUUCUUUCUUUGGCUACUGUGGCAACUGCUGCAGCUUCUGCUAUUAGAGUUUUCCCACUACUGGUUGGUGCAGAAACCACCACUGAUGAUCCUCUCAGGAAUGCUUGAAUUGCCGAUCGCUGCAAACAGGUUCCAAAACUUUAUACUUCUACAAUUAGAUAACACGUAAACAAGUAGAUGACGACCAGAUGUUCAUCUGCAAAAUAUGUUCUUGAAUCACACAAAAUGUGCUAAUAAAUUCGCACACAGUGAUACAGUUUACUGUAAAAGUGUAAAUGCAAAAUAAAGUGGUGUGUGCAUCUAUCAAUAUAUAACCGUGAAUACCAAGAAUUAUGCACUUAAAUAGCAUAUAGCUGCAAAAGAUUCACAAAAUUCUCGAUUUAUUUUCCAUUUUGCUUCAUCUCUAAACAUUUAUGUGAGGCUAAAGGUAAACAAGCGACUAGAAACUCAAAUCAAGUUGGUACGAGAGUUCUUUAUUGACCAAACAAAUCCGAACAAAGUUCAGAUUUUUAAAAGCUUUUAGGCUCUGCUCCAACUAAACUCCAGAAGCAGAAAGCUUAAAGUUCACGUAUGAGAAAUCGAGCUACGCGAACUCAACACGAGUGCUUACCUCAACAAGAUAUCAUUCGAGCUCAGCUCAAGUAAUAAUCGUCCAACACAAGUUUAAGCAAAAUAUACUACGUUUGAGCUCAGCUCAAAUAAUAAUCGUCAAACGCAAUUUUAAGAUGAAUUAGUUUUUCUCUCAAUUGCUUAAUUUAGCUUAAAUUUUUAAGGAAGUUAAACAGGAAGAAGACAAAAGAAAAAAAAAAAGGAACCUGAAAUUUAUCAAUUCUGAAAGAGUAAAUGGAAGCGAGCUCAUCAACAUCGAGAAUUUCAUCGCCGAACACUUUAACUUCGUUACAAAUCCUCGCGAUUCUCUGCCACUUGAAUUCCUCAUGCUUGGACUCCUUACUCUCGGCCACCACGGAAAAACUCUCAAUUUCCUCUUCUUCCUCUUCUUCGCUCACCUCGUGUCGCACGCCGUCGUAUUCAUCAGCCGCAAUAUCUUCAUCGUCGUCCGCAUAUUCAUUAUCAUCCUCCUCUAGUUGCUCUUCGCCUUCGUCUUCGUCUUCUUCGUCGGAGACUUGAGACUCGGCAGGGAAAAUUGAUUUAGGGAGUUUAUAAAAGGUUUUGCCGAAUUUGAGAGGGUUUUUUGAGGUGUGAAGAGUCUUGGGCGAGCAGAAAUUGAAGGCUCGGAAAUGGGGGAGAGUCUGGUAGGGUAGAAAUGGGGAGGACUUCGGUGUGGUGAGUGAGAGAAGGGGAGGGGAGAAGAUGCAGCAGGGUGCGGGCAUGGCGGGAGAGAAAAUGAGCUGUUGUGUUUAUUAUCGUCUCUAUUGAAACAGAUAAUUGUAAGGAUAUUUAUAUUAUGAAUUUCUUCUUUCGGUAAUGUGCCCGGAGUUCGAAUCUCGGCUCGUUUUGACGUUGCUAGACCCCAAUUAAGUAUAAGGUUAAUUAGUAAAAAAGAGUGACACAAUGGUUCGACGGACUCAAGGCACCACACCACUUGAUUUUACCAAAACUAAACUAAUAGUAAUUGAUUUAAUUCAACUUCCUAAAACAAAGACUAUAAUAUAAUCAUUAUCAAAAAAAAAAGACUAUAAUAUAAUAGCAUGGCAUAGCUAUAGUUUCUCGUGUGAACUGCUAUUUUUAGGAAUCUUUAUAAAAAUAUAUAUAUAAUGUAAUAAUUUAGUAUAUAUAAAAAAAAUGAUAGCUAAAUAUGUUCAUGAAAAUUGAACCAAGGCUACAAGCAAAAUUGUUUUCAUAAUGUAUAUUCUGUCGUCACAUUUGAUUAUAUAACAAUUUAUACACACCAUCCAAACAAGUUGAUAAUUAACUUUAGGGUAAAAUACGAGAAACCCCUUGAGAUUAAGUGAGCAUAUAAAAAAAUUUCCUAUAAUUUCAAAAGAUAGACACUAAUAUCUAAUAUCUUGUGAUUUGAACUAAUUUACAAAAGCAGCGGAAAUCAUCUAAAGUAAUGGUUUUGAAAUACACGUGCUUCUUUUGAGAGUAUUUGUAGCAAAAACAAACAAUUUUUAAUUGAUAUACCUAUUAUACCGUUAGAGUUAUAAUAUCAAAAAACCCAUAUGGUUAAACAAACCUACAAAAAUGUCCCUUAUAAUUUUAAAUCAUACAAUCUAAUGUCUUGUGGUUUGAAUUAAUGUGAAAAAUUGACAACAAUCAUUUAAAUUAAAGAGUUUGAGGUUAUUUGACGUGGAAAAUUGUUUUUUAAAUCAAUAUUUUAGCUAAUAUACCUAUCAAACCCCCUAGAACUCAUAAAAUAUUCAAAAACUCCCCAAAACUUUCAAAUACAACUCUCUUUAUUUCAAUACAUACAAUAAACAAAUACUCCAAAAUAAAUUUAUAUACACAAAAUAAAUAAAUAAAAACUUUUAAAUAUAACUUACCUUAUUCUUGUGCAUAAAAUAAAUAAAUAAAAGAAACAUGUAAUCAUAAAGGGCCUUUUUCCGUAGAUUGGUUUAAUCAUAGAAGGCUUUUCCGUAGGUUUGCUUAAUAAGAUCGUUGUAAAAAAGUCUUUUAUUGCCUAUAUAUAUAUAUAUAUAUAUAUAUUAGGCUAAUUGUGUCAUUUAGUCCACCUUUAUUAGUUUUGAUGAUUGCUAUUGCUGUUUCAAAUUAGUUCAAUUAUGAGGGAUCGAAAAUAUAUGAUUUAAAAUCAUAAGAGUCUUUUUCAUAGGUUAAUUUAACCGGAGGGAGUUUUUUUAUAUUUUGCCCUUAACUUUAUUACCAAUUGUCUGCAAUGCAAACGAAUUACCAACAAAGAAAAUAAUAAUCUUAAAAUUGAAUUGCGUCUUAUGCAAUUAUUGAAGCCCCACUCAGCCUUGGGUGGACGAUUUAAUUAUUGUUUGUAAAAACUAAAGGAAGGUCCAACUAAUACCAUAUAUUACGGCGGGCCUGACAGUGGGAUAUAUCACUACACUAUAUUUGCUUUAUGGAUUUAUAUAUGCUUUUUUUUUUCUCUCAUUUAUUUUGCUUUUCUCCGGUCUGAUUCGAUUCUAAUGGUAGUAUUUUACUUGGACAUUUCCUCUCUUUUUUUUUUUCCCAAAAGUUUAUAUUUGUAGCAUUCAAUCUUUGCAAGUGGACUGUGUCUCUCUCGUCCGUCCCAUCGAAUACUACCUAUAGGUUACAGCUGAAAUUCUCAUUUUGUUAUUUAUAGGGAAUAUAUAGUUAAUUCACAUUUCUUCUCCAACGCUCCCACCAAACCAAACAGACGCCCGUCAUAAUUUCCCUGUUCACCAUAUAAAUUUCCCGUCAGCCCAUCCUUAAAAAGAAUAAAACACAAAAAAAAAAAAAGUCAAGCAAACCAACAGCUGAAGAUGGCCCUCUCGACUCACCGGACCACGACCGCUCUCCUACGCCACCUAACUCCUGCUGUCUCCUACCUCCGCCACAUCUCCACCGACUCCACCUCCACAAUCACCGUCGAAACCAGCGUUCCCUUCACCGGCCACAAGAUCGAGCCGCCCUCCCGUUCCGUCGAUACCACAGCACAAGAACUCAUGUCGUUCUUCCGCGACAUGGCCUUGAUGCGCCGGAUGGAAAUUGCCGCCGACUCUCUCUACAAAGCCAAACUCAUCCGCGGUUUCUGCCACCUCUACGACGGCCAGGAAGCGGUGGCGGUCGGCAUGGAAGCCGCCAUCACGAGAAAGGAUUGUAUCAUCACUGCCUACAGAGACCAUUGUAUCUUUCUAGGCCGCGGGGGAACUCUAUUGGAAUCGUUUUCUGAAUUAAUGGGGAGGAAAGAUGGGUGUUCCAAGGGGAAAGGGGGUUCGAUGCAUUUCUAUAAGAAGGAAGGGGGAUUUUACGGAGGACACGGGAUUGUUGGGGCUCAGAUUCCUUUGGGGUGCGGAUUGGCGUUUGCUCAGAAGUAUAAAAAUGAUGAGAAUGUUACUUUUACUUUGUAUGGUGAUGGCGCCGCGAAUCAGGGGCAGUUAUUUGAGGCUUUGAAUAUGGCUGCUCUUUGGGAUCUGCCUGCCAUUUUAGUCUGCGAAAACAAUCACUGUAAACAUCCCAAAAUACCUUUCCUCUUUUGUUCUUUUUAUUGCAUUCAUGGUUGUUAAUUUAUAGCUCGAAAAGUUAUGUUUCUAGUAUGUAGUUUUUUCUUUCAUAGUGGUGGUUGUCGGGUUUUUGUGGAAAAGUAAAAUGCAGUUUGAUUUGUUGUUUGGUGUUAGAGUUUCCAUGUGUACGAGUUUCUCUGAGAAUUUCUUGUCCUGCAUUCUAUUUGAAAGAGGAGGUUUUUGUUUUUGUUGAAUGUUUUUUGGGUAGGAAGACGUGUUAGGUAUUGUGUAUCUGUUAAUGUCUUGGAAUGCUUUCAAAAUUUGAAGGAAGUAAUCUGUUAUUGGGUUGACAGAUGGAAUGGGGACAGCAGAAUGGAGGGCAGCAAAAAGUCCAGCUUACUACAAGAGAGGGGAUUAUGUUCCUGGUUUGAAGGUGCUUUAACAUCGUUACUUGUUUAAUUUUUGCCUUCUUCUGUUAUUGCUACUUACUCAUUUAGUUUUAGUUAACAUAUUUUAGUUCUAAAGUUGUAAGAGUGUAUUUUUGAAUCAAAGCAGUUUGUUAAGAAAGUUAUUCUUGAAAUUUGAUUCAAUGCUUUUGUAAUAAAAUGCAAUAGUACCAUGGUGCAAAUUGCAGCAGCAUUUUCAAUAUACUAGUUUAUGAAGUAAUGUGAUAAUUGCCAUCCUGUUUUUGCCUUGUUUUGGAGGAAAUGGCAUUUGUCAUGUGAAGCAAUUGAAGUUUGGUUGACAACAACAUAAGAUAAAGUGGGGCAGUCAUUAAUUGAAUAAAAGAUUUUGCUUUGAUAACUAGGUUGAUCCCCCACUCAUGACAUGAAAUGUCAAAAAGUUUUUUUCUUUAACCUUUAAAUGGGAGGCUCACUUUGAUAACAAGACAUGAUGCUUGGAAAGUAAUUUCUUUGUAAAUGCUGUAGGUGGUUUACAUAUCGAGUUGUGCAUGGUUUACAUAUCGAGUUGUGCAGAUAGAUUGAAUGUCACUCAACGUGGUAGAUAUUUUUCAACUGCCAUAUAAUGUUCUUGUUGAUUGAUUUUGAAUUGAAGGUAGUAUGAGCACACUUAAAUGAAUAAAGGGAUUAAUUCCACUAAUAUUUCGUUUUGAUCUGUUCAUUUAGAAUCUUACAGAAAGUUAUAGUGGUUCACAUCAUUUGUUUAUCUUGUUUCUAUGAAAAAAAACUGUAAUAGACUUGUUUAUGCGAAAAUUAUUAACUUAUAGAUGGUACCUUUCUUUCCUCUGAUAUUGUUGUUUUCUUUAUGUUUGACGAUUGUACUUGGGAUUUCUCCCCUGAGUCGGGCAUGUGAUGGGAUUUCUCCCGAGUCAGGCAUGUGAAUUGGAAAAGGUUUAUCUUUUUUUGUUUCUGCUUUGCUUUUUUCUUGGGGGGAGGGGUGUGCUACAGGAAUGUUCACAUUUUUCCAGAUCUGUCCUAUAGUCUUUUGGUUUAUUAUACUCCAGGAAAUCAGUAGCCUUAGUGCUUGACAAUCUCAAAAGACAUUGGUCGAUUGAAAGUGUUAAAGAAAUAAAUUAAGAAUGUCAUGGAAUGAUAUGAAAUCAUGUCUGUUCUCUCUUGUUUCUCCAUUGUUCAUAUCGGUUAUCGUUAAUCCUAUAUAUUUGUCCAAGAACAGGUAGAUGGUAUGGAUGCCCUUGCUGUGAAACAGGCAUGCAGAUUUGCCAAGGAACAUGCCCUGAAGAAUGGGCCAAUUGUGAGUAAAACUACAUAGCUUAUUCCCUGUACUUUUCUAAGUAUUGAGUAGAUGUUCGUUAGAUAACUCUUGUCAUUUUCCUUUCUUCCUUUAUUUAUACUUUGAUGUUUCCUUAAGUCUGGACAAUAAGAUCAUACAUUGUUUAUUUAAUUCAUCUUCAAGCAAAAGUGAGGAUAAAGAGAUAUGAUAUAGUGGAACUUAUUAUUGGAUCUAGUUGCUGGUCUAUGUUGUUGUGUCUCUGUAAUCUUAUUGUUGCAAUCUUGUAAUUGAUUGAUUUAUUUACUAGCAAGGGUGAAGAGAGUUGAUGUUGGAAAGCAUUUACAUAAGGAAUGCAGAUAUAGUUUUGAAAUAGUACUUAAUUCUUUUGGUUCUAGAUACUAAAACUAGACUUUUCAUAUCCUAAAUGCUGCAAGGGAAAAACUUGACUACUCUUUAUGUGCUGUUGAGGCUUUUAUGACUGUUGACCUAUCCUGGAGUUAUCAAAUGCUGUGCCGUAUCCAUGGAAUCUUAUGUAUGAAAAUGAUAUCAAGUUUGAUGGUUGAAUAGAAGCGUAAACCAUUAUAUGUUGGAAGAGAACAAAUAAGUAGAGUAUUAUCCAUUUCCUAUGAUUAAGCUUUGGCCUACUAAAGUGUCUAAUGUGUCUACCACAAGGCCAGUCAUUAUUUUUGGAUUAUUUGUAUUAUACUAUUAUGUUUCCUUUCCACUCUUUGUUUUUAGUAUUCAACAUCCCAAUAUGAACUCUUUUAUCAGUCAACUGUUAGAAUUGACACAGUAUCCUGAGAAGAACAGAGUUUCCUUCAACCCACAUGAAAUUUUUUGUAGUUUAGUCAGAAUACCAAGAGAAAAGCUUGAGUGAUGGUUUAUUUGACAAACCGGGGGUUUAUAAUAACAAAUAAGAUGCAAGAAGCAAAGUCAUAUUGGGAAAUUUUGAUCAUCUUUCACUACUAGCAUCUUAAUGUCUUUAUUUCUGCAAGUAAUUUAAACAGGAAACAAAAGAUCCUUGUAGCACAAAUGACCAUGUAGAAUACCCAUAAAAAUAAUGCUUAUUUCCUUUCUCCAGUUGUGUCAGUAAUUGUGCUAUUCGACAUUCAUGCUUUUGGUAAAUUAUCUGCCUGUCAAGUAUAUUUAUGCAUUUAAUGGCUAAUGUAGUUGGAAACAAAGAAAAUUCAAAAUUUCCCACACUCAGCAGCAUGGCACAAAAUCUCUACAUCCUACAACUUUAAUUUUAAACCUAGGAUGACUUUAAUUUCAAGAUGAUCGUCUGGAUAAAGUUAAUGAAUUAGCAUCCAAUGACCAAGUAUUUUAGUAAAUAUUGUGGUUCUCUAUUUAAAUGGUCAAUUUUGUUUUCCAUGUCAGCCAUGGGUGUGUUUUAACUACGGAGCACACUUAAAUUAUAUGAAGUAUAAAGAUGCUUGGAUUGGUUGGCGAGCAUUCAAAGCGCAUCUACUAUACUGUCUCUGUUCACUGAGGAGCAAAAAACUUUUAGGGUUGUGUUGAUAUUUGUCUAAUGCACGUGAAAUUUACAUUCUCCUGAAUCACACUGCUUAAUGCCCAUCAUCAUGCACUAUUGCAUAAGUUGGAUGGGGUUAAAAGGUUAUAUAUGGAUGUGAGUAAAGAUUAUGUGAUGCCAUAAGGAGCUUAUAGAAAACAAAAUUUUGGACUAAGUGCUUAUUCUUUUGGUUGAAAUUUUUGAUGCAAUAUAGCUGUUAAUACAUGGGACAAGCAGUUUGAACCUUUUGCAUGUAUCAUUGGUAGCUUGUACUGUCUGUUUACUUGCUUCAUGUAGCCAGUUUGUCACUUUAUUUGGUAGAAUCUGUGCUAUUACUUUGAGCAUUUGCCAACAAUCCAUAAACUACUAAUGCUAAAGAAUGUGAAGAAAUUUCAUUUUAUUUAACCUUUGUCCUCUUGGUUAUUGUCCAGAUUCUGGAAAUGGACACCUAUCGAUACCAUGGUCACUCUAUGUCUGAUCCUGGAAGUACAUACCGAACCCGUGAUGAGAUCUCUGGCGUGAGACAGGUUGUUAUGUUUCCUAUUGUGUUAGAAAUAUAUUCUCCUUGAUGCUUCACAUACAAACUUAAUAAAUCAACUACUUUUUACUGCAGGAGCGUGAUCCAAUUGAAAGAGUCAGGAAGCUCUUAUUAGCAUAUGAUAUAGCCAAUGAAAAGGAGCUGAAGGUUAAUUUAAUUUGGUUAAUGCUGAUUUAAUGGCUUCAGAAUUUUCAACCUCUUAUAGGCAAUUAAUCUGUCUUUUUUUUUUAAUUGCAUAUAUUUUUCAAGAAUACAUGCAUAAAGAGUUUUGGGGAAUAAUGGGAUAUCAUGAUUGACGGUUGCUUUUUUGGUUUAUUUGCUGAUGUAUUUGAAUUUUUCCAUACCCAGGAUAUUGAAAAAGAAGCGAGAAAACAAGUUGAUGAAGCCAUUGCAAAAGCAAAGGUGAGAAUCAUGACUGAGCACCUAUAACGUGUAUCAUUGGUUUCGACCUUCUCAUACUCGGCUUACUUUUAACUUAGAUGAGCUAGUGCUGAUGUGUCUCUCUCUUUGCAGGAGAGCCCUCUGCCUGAGCCUUCUGAACUGUUCACAAACGUAUAUGUCAAAGGAUACGGGGUGGAGGUAUGAUAGAUUUCAGCUAUGAGUACGGUUUAGGUUUCAUUGCUUGGACUCACAUCUACUGGUUGAUUGUAGUCUUCAUUGUUCAAAUUUGAGCAUAAAUAUUGAUUUAUUUUUGGCUUAGCAUGAGAGUUUCUGGGGUAUUUUUCUUUGUUGGGUGCUUGAUCAAUGUUAAUUUGCACGAUUAUACGAAAUGAAAAGGAAUCUUUGGAUAACUUUUGUUUUUGGUGUAAUAUGAUUUACCCUAAAAGACAAUAGGCCACAUUUUAUCUUAUUUUGUUCCGAAAUAUGGCAACGGAAAUGGAUGAAAACAGAAAAUGAUCCAUAACGUUAGACUUAUUUCUCAACAGGAGAUCUGGUAUUUUAUGAAUAAUGUUUUCAUGUAAUUUCAGAAUUUGUUGUAGAAAGAUUUUUUAUUCAAUUUCAGCCAAUAUCAUAUAGGUUAUGUUGUACCUGUUAUCAUUAUUCCUUGUCUGGGCGGAAAAAAUAUAUGAGAAUCAAGGUGAAGAAGAAAGAAAAGAGAGGAAUUUUCUAUUGGUGGUUGCAUGGCAGAGUUUCAAUAUGGUGGUCGUAUUUGCAUUAACCGAAGGCGUUCUUUUGCAGUCUUUUGGAGCGGACAGGAAAGAAAUUAGAGCUGCACUUCCAUGAAGCAAAAAUUUGAAGGAACCACCUGCUAGGACCAAUGUGAAGCAAAAGAAGAACAUUUUUAGACAAUAAUACUUGCAAAAAUAGAAAGUUUUACGCUAUAUUUGGGAGGACUGGUGCAGUAUUCAUCGACUCCUUUGUUUGGAUGGGAACGGUUCUUCCCUAGUGCUCUUUUUGACAGCUGAGUGGUUGUGAUUUUCUGGAAAGCAAAGCUGAGGGAUUAGGAGAUUCAUUCUGUUCUGUUUUCUUUUUCGAGGAAGUGGGAUGUAUUGAUAAAUGCAUCAAGCAAUUGUCGCGCUUGCAUUUCUGCAGGGGAGUUUUGUCUCUUUUUGUGAGGUUCUUAAAAGAGUCUCUCUGUUACUUUCAAGUGAAAUUUUAUAUCUGUUAAAAGCACUGCUGCACCAGAGUCGUCGGUGGAUACUCACCUUUACUGUCACGGUUUCACUCACAACUCUUUGAAGUGGCCGCCAGACCGCUACAGGUGCAUUAUGUUAUGGCCCUUUGUGGAAGACCUUACAAAUCAUGCAUUUUAUUCAUUUUUGCCGCUGCCAUAAAUGUUUGUUUAGUUCACAAACUCGCUUUAAAAAGAAAUGCGAAUGAUAUGCGUGGAGACACGCUCGUCUAAAAUUGAGCACUCCCAAAUGAUUCUUGGAUGAUGUGGCUAUGGUAAGCUCGUUAACCCGUUCUCUUUUCCGCUGGUCGUCCGGCCUUUUUAAUUUAUAUAAAAAAAUAAUAAUAUAUUUUUCUCUAGGGAGGAGAAAAGGUUCUCUCCUGAUAUGCUGCCCCCUUUUACUUAUUAUAACAUCAUUAUUAUACAAGUAUGUACCAUAAAAUUAAUAUUAUUACUUUUUUUUUUUUUUGGGGUAAGCAUGUGGGAGUACCACAAAAUGCAGUACGGAAAGGGGGAACAUUUGUGGGGAUGCGCUUAAAGCCUUUGCAACAGCGAAACAGCUUUCAGAGUUUGGUCCUUGGCUGCUGCUGCUAUAGUCAGGCACGUCUCUCCAGACAAGUUGGCUCUGCAUGACAGAAUCUAUGGAAAAUUGGGAGUGGUUAAAAACGAAAUAAAUAAAUUAGGCGAAGCAAAGCAAAUAUGUCCACAUGCCAUAUCAUCUUUUGCCAAAUAUAUAUUAAUAAUGUUUAUUGAUAGACCCCGCAGCCAGCGGGAUUGAGUGAAAUUGAACCAGCAGCAGUGUACGAGAUGGUAAAUUACAGCCUCCUCAAACGUAUCGUUGCUGACCAAAAAAAAAGAGUCCCUGCCUGAGUUAACAGCGUAGUACUAUGGCGUAGAGAAAAAUUAUUCGAGUUAGAAUCAUGCCAUCUUCCAAACUUACACAUUCGAAAAGGAGUUUUUGUUUUAGCCUUUUCAACUUCCACCGGAUGCAAUUAGGCCCGUCAACAGUCCGGGUGUAAGUCCGGAUCCGGCAAAUUAUUUCGGGGUACAAGUACGUACGGAUUUAAUUUCAUUAUUUGGAUUUGGAUUCGACUCGAAUCCAUUUUGUCAAAAAAAAAUGGAUCAAAUAUGGAAUAUAGUAUUUCGAUCCGGACCAUCGAAUAAACGGAUCGAAUUCAAAUUCGAUAUAAUAUGUCGGAUGCGGGUCCGAAAUAAUGAAUUCCGGCCUGUUGACGGGCUAGAUGCAAUCAAUCACUCGAAAACGUACCAUAAUAGAGUUAGAUACGAGACAUUAUUGUCUCGGGUCAUAUUAUACCGAAGUAGAUGUUCUAGUGCUUUCCUUUCAUUCGUCUACCCACCCCAGGUCCAGAUCAAAUAUUACUGCAAUCCAAAUAUUGCUACUACUUUCACGCUAUUAAUUAGUCAUAUACAUGGGGAGUUACACCUGGCUUAAUGGUUACAACAAUAAUCCAGUGCGUAUGAGUAAUCAUGGAACAGAAUCGAUUUAAAUGCAACAAGGCAUUAAAAGAAAAAAAAGGAAGAGGAUCAAGAAAAACCAGGAGGAUCCUGAAAUGAUCUGGCAAGUUGGAUUUGGGUUACCCAGACCAAUUAAGUAAGCGACAAUGCUAAACUGGCUUGGACUUCCUUCCCUGUUAGUUCCUCCGCCUCGUUUUACAUUUAUUCCCUUCUGGGCCGGCGGUCAGAACACAUAUAAAAACUCGAAUGGGGACAAGAAAUGCUGCACCACCCUCCGACAGGUUUGCAGUUUGCACCGCACCAGUGCACUCGAUCGACUCAACCCCUGCGUUG